rnacentral:rRNA from 1 species
GUGGGGAAUAUUGGACAAUGGGCGCAAGCCUGAUCCAGCCAUGCCGCGUGAGUGACGAAGGCCUUAGGGUUGUAAAGCUCUUUUGGCGGGGACGAUAAUGACGGUACCCGCAGAAUAAGCUCCGGCUAACUUCGUGCCAGCAGCCGCGGUAAUACGAAGGGAGCUAGCGUUGUUCGGAAUCACUGGGCGUAAAGCGCACGUAGGCGGAUCGUUAAGUCGGGGGUGAAAUCCCGAGGCUCAACCUCGGAACUGCCUUCGAUACUGGCGAUCUUGAGUUCGGGAGAGGUGGGUGGAAUUCCUAGUGUAGAGGUGAAAUUCGUAGAUAUUAGGAAGAACACCGGUGGCGAAGGCGGCCCACUGGCCCGAUACUGACGCUGAGGUGCGAAAGCGUGGGGAGCAAACAGGAUUAGAAACCCCAGUAGUCC